UAUUAAAUUUUAAAAUAAUAAUUUAUUUUGUUAUUUAAUUUUAUUAGAUUGAAAAAAUAUAUGAAAAUUGUUAUAUGAUAAUUGAUUCUUAAAGGAUUUUAAUUAAUCUCAGUAUUUAAUAUUAAAUAUUAAUGAAAUUUAGAUUUAAUUAUUAAUUUAAGUAUAAACUAAAUAUGUGCCAGCAGUUGCGGUUAAACAUAAUAUAUAAAUAAAAUAAUUUAGUUAUUAGUAUGAAAUAAUUUAAAUAAUUUAAUUUUUAAUUUAAGGUAAAAUUUAAUUUAAAAUUAAAAUUGUAAUUAUUUUAUUCUAUUAAACUUUAUUUAAAACUAGGAUUAGAUACCCUAUUAUAAAAGUUUAAAAUUUAUUACUAAAAAAUUAAUAGUUAAGUUCUUUAAAUUUAAAAAAUUUGGCGGUAUUUUAGUCUUAUUAGAGGAACCUGUUUUUUAAUUGAUAAUCCACGAUUUAUUUUACUUAUAUUAAAAAUUUAUAUAUCGCUGUCAUGAAUAUAUUUUAAAAUUUAUUUUCUUUAAUUAAUUUAAUAAUUUAUGUUAAGUCAAGAUGUGGUUUAUAUAUAAGAAAAUAAUGGGUUACAAUAAAUUUGAUUUUUGGAUUUUAUAUGAAAAUUUAAAAUGAAAGUGGAUUUAAUAGUAAAUUUAAUUAUUUUAUUAAUAUGAAUAUAGAUCUAAAAUAUGUACAUAUUGCCCGUCAUUCUUAUGAAAAGUAAGACAAGUCGUAACAAAGUAAAUGUACUGGAAAGUGUAUUUAGAAAGA
rnacentral:ncRNA from 1 species